rnacentral:sRNA from 1 species
AAACCUAUUACUUACUUUGCAAAGCUCUUUUACCUUGUGUUAUUUGAUUACAACAACUCAAGAGAGGUCCAGUAGGGUGGAUAAUGUCCUUAUUUUACAGAUGAGGACACUGAGAUACGGGAAGGUGAGUUACAGAACUCUCUGGCUACUGUUCUGCUCAUCUCCCAGCCCCAUGAAUUUUCAUCUCUCUCCUCCCCCAGUUUAUUUAUGGAGAUUCUUAGUUCCUGUUCAGAUUGUGAUGAGAUCCAAUUCAUGGAAGAUGGAUCCUGGUGCCCAAUGAAACCCAAGAAGGAGGCAUCUGAGGUUUGCCCCCCGCCAGGGUAUGGGCUGGAUGGUGAGUGACCCCCUGUUCCCCAGCUAAGCUAAAUCUUGGAUGGCCUCUUCUCUGAGACAUAGUCUUCUUAAUACCCGCAGGCCUCCAGUACAGCCCAGUCCAGGAGGGAAAUCCAUCAGAGAAUAAGAAGAAGGUCGAAGUUAUUGACUUGACAAUAGAAAGCUCAUCAGAUGAGGAGGAUCUGCCCCCUACCAAGAAGCACUGUUCUGUCACCUCAGCUGCCAUCCCGGCCCUACCUGGAAGCAAAGGAGUCCUGACGUCUGGCCACCAGCCAUCCUCGGUGCUCAGGAGCCCUGCUAUGGGCACGUUGGGUGGGGAUUUCCUGUCCAGUCUCCCACUACAUGAGUACCCACCUGCCUUCCCACUGGGAGCCGACAUCCAAGGUUUAGAUUUAUUUUCAUUUCUUCAGACAGAGAGUCAGGUAAGUGGUUCUUUCUUCAGAAGGUCUCAGAUCUCUGAAGCUUCCUUUCUAGGCACUGAUGGGGCCCCUCCCUCUCUUAUGAUCUCUGGGGAUGUAAAUCUGCUUUCCCGUGAGGACAGUGAGGUGUAGGUAGCUUAUUACCUCCUCAGCCCCACUGGUAGUUCCUGAGAUUCCUACUUAGGCCUGCUUCCUAGAUCCCCUGUUAAUUUUCUGCCCUGGCCUACUCACCCCCACCCCCGUGUGCACUUAGAGCACCAUGCCUGCUCUAACCGGACAUUCCACACAUUUCAGACGCCCACAAAGCCAAGAACCUAACAAGUUGGAGGAGCUCUCUCAAGGCAGGGAAAGGGGAAGGGUGUGGGGAAGUAGGGGAAAGAGGGAGAGGCUCUCCUGCUUCUCAAGAGAAUACCUUGGGAUCCACAGGGGUUGAUUGCUCUCAUACGGCAUUUCUGAGAUGAGUGACUAGGAGGUGGGGAAGUCAGGAUGAGAUCUUAAACUAUGCCCUUGAUUCUUCCUAGCACUAUGGCCCCUCCGUCAUCACCUCACUAGAUGAACAGGAUGCCCUUGGCCACUUUUUCCAGUACCGAGGGACCCCUUCUCACUUUCUGGGCCCACUGGCCCCCACGUUGGGGAGUUCCCACCGCAGCGCCACUCCGGCACCCCCUCCUGGCCGUGUCAGCAGCAUUGUGGCCCCUGGGGGGGCCUUGAGGGAGGGGCAUGGAGGACCCCUGCCCUCAGGUCCCUCUUUGACUGGCUGUCGGUCAGACAUCAUUUCCCUGGACUGAGUUCCUCGGAUUAUGGCAACUUCGCUGUCCCCAACACUGAGGAGGUAUGCUGUGGAGUCCUAACCCCAGCUACUCUGAUCCCUCUGGGGGUUCUGGCCAAGGGCCAGACAGACGUUCACAGAUGCCUACUUUUGGCCUCAUCUCUGCCUGACAAGGCCAGCACCCAAAGGGUUAAUAUUGAACCUGUUUUUAAGGACACUGGGGUCUGUUUUUGGAAAUGUUCUUUAGAUGGUGGCACAUUCCUUUGGGUAUGUUAACCUAGGCAGUGGGAGGCAAAUGGGAUGGGAUGUGAGCUGGAAGAAGGGCUGAACCCUCAGCCUUGACUAUGUCUAGAGCCUCUUGGGGAAGGGGCACCUCUCUUGAACCCCAAAUGCUCUCUUGUUAUCCCCCAAAUCCAUGGCUCUAUUUCUUCUUCACAUCCAUUGUCUCUUCAUGUCCAUUCCAUUCCCUUCGGCCAAACAGACAGGUGGAAAAACUGAGACAGGCAGUUUCAGAGAUGGACAGAGAACUUUAUUUUGGAUUGUGGAUGUGGACUUUUUUGUACAUAAAUAAGAAAAACCAAAAUACUCCAAAGAUGACUUCCCCUGCCUCCUACUCCAGUAUGACAGAGGAGGAUGUAAGGCCUUAGCCAUGAUCCCCAGGGGUUUGGGAGUCACGCCCGGCCUAUUGCUUGGGUCUCUAUUUAUAUAUUUAAGUUCACAGUGUUUCUUAUUCCACCCUAAGCUUCUAGAGGCUCAUGGCCCUGUGGUUAGGCCUGGCUCAUUCUGCACCUUUCCAGGGAGGUGGAAGGACCCUGUGCCCUCCUUCCCAAUCUUCUUUUUCAGGCUCGCCAAGGCCUAGGACCUAUGUUGUAAUUUUACUUUUUAUUUCUAAAGUUGUAGUGAAGCUCUCACCCAUAAUAAAGAUUGUGAAUGUUC